UUGCCAUUUUUUCCAUUUUUUUCCAGACAGAAGUAACUUCUAAAACAUUGCUAGGGAAACGCUCUGACAUCUUCCGUAGAGGUGAAAAAGCACAGGUCUGACUCAGGUAGCUGCGAGUUCAAGUUCAGCCGCAGGCUCUUCCCCAAGGUGCUGGUCUUCGCAGGAACCCCUUGCAGGCAGCUGCAAAGAGCAGCACGGCGCGCACACACAGGGUCCGGCUGGCGUCUGGCCAGAGCAAGGGAACAGUAAGUGUGUCCUGGAGGCGCUCGCCAUGCACUCACACGCCAUCUGUGGAUUCGGAAGUGACCUCCCCCUCGGUUGAUGAGGGUUCUCUGCGUCUGGAGAACACAGGACGUCCACAGGAAAGUUCUCCCUCCUGCACUCCCGGCUGGCUCUGAAAAUUAUGAAGGCAGAGACGUCCGUGCCUGAUACUGUCCUGGCAGCCACGUGCCCUCAUACACUUGCCCAGACCCUGAAUGUGCUACACGGAGUGACCCCAAUUACACCGUGGGCCCCGGGUGACUGCGACAUGUGAGUGCAGGUUCACCCACGUCACAGACGAACCGCUCCGGUGCAGGGGGAGCUGCGCACGUCGGGGCGGGGGCUGUGGCGUGGGACCUCUGUACCUUCUCUCAAUUUGGCUGUAAGCCUACAACUGCCCUAAAAUAAAGUCUCUUUAUUUAUUUUUUUAUUUAUUUUUACGCAGCUCUCUUUUCCUUAAAAUAAAGGCUCUAAAAUUGUGUGAUUCCACCUCCCUGAGGCUAAGCGAAAGAGCCGCGUCUGCCCCUGUCCUUCCCGGGGGCUGGCAGGGAGUGGGUGCCCGGCGGUGACUCAGCCCUGCAGCCUCCCAGCCCUUCCCCGUAUGCGGGCAGGUGAUGCGGACGCCUCCGACCCUCGUGGGGUUUGUGGAGAGCGUUGAUCAGCGCUGCCGUCAGAACAGGACCUGUGCGAGGCCUCGCAGAUGCCGGGAGCCGGGCGGUGCUCUCGGUGCUUCUCAUCAAAUCCACUGGCUCUUCGAGAGGAAGCACAUGUCACAGCCCAGCUCAAACAAGAAGCAAGAAAAUCACUCUUCAUUUUGGAAUUGUAAAAUAAAGUAGAAAUUAUCCUCAGGCUAGAGUGACCUUCCCGUCCUGCCCCAGCCACCCCCCACCUCCCAGCACCUGCCGGUAACAGCCCUGCACACAGCCCCGAGACCCUCCGCCAAACCCAGCCCACCACCCCCGGGAGGGCUGUGGAAGAGGCUAGAGAGCGCAUCCCCUCUGGCUCCUGGGGUGGAGGCCUGCUGUGGGUUGGCUGGAAUCAGCCCCCCUCCCCCGUGUCCUGGGCCCCUGCAGCCCUGCGAGGCGGACACCUAGCCACCCCUCAUCCCAGGGAAGCCAGGGCCAGGGAAGGGCCCAGGAGGGGAGGGUUCGCCCUUCCUGCUGGAUGUCGUUCCUUUAAAAAUCCCUGCCG
rnacentral:lncRNA from 1 species